CGUGCUGAGCAAGGACCGGGGCGGCGGUGGGGCAAGGGUGUAGAGCUGGGGUUCCCAGCGGAGAGCAUGUCCAAGGAGCGGCUGCCGGCGAGGUGAUGCUUCUGCCUGGGCCUACUUGGGACCGGAAGUGAGCGCUCGCGCGGGGAGGAUGCCGGGAAGCAGGUCCCAGGGGAUAUGUGUGUGUCGCUGCAGACCCAUCCCGGAAGCCGGCCGGGAGACUAUCAAGAUCUCCACUUAGGGAAGUGGGAAUCUUAUUUGCGGAACAUUGGGCAGAAGCUUUGACAUUGGCUGGUGGAGAAGGAGGAGGCAGAAUGUCUGCAUUGUUACACCAUACAGCUCAAACUUCAGAAGACUUUGGGUUAAGCAGUUACCAUUAGUCUGCAAAUGAUCGUGUUUUCACCUGAUCAUUAGAAACUAAUGAAACACCUUUUAAGUCUUAUGAAUUCAGGUUACACUGUUUUCCAGAUGCCUUGGCAGCUGGUACAGGUUUAAAUUUAUGUUGUUUUGUGGUACAGUUUAAAAAUAGUGGAUAACA
rnacentral:sRNA from 1 species